rnacentral:tRNA from 1 species
GGAGAGGUGGCCGAGUGGACGAAGGCGCUUGAUUGGAGUUCAAGUAGGCGGUUGUACCGUCUCGUGGGUUCGAAUCCCACCCUCUCCGCCA